GGUAUGAUGGCACAGCAGGUAGUGCACCAGCUCUCACUGGAUAGUCUGGAGGGGUUUAAGUUGGAGGCCCUCGUUCGACUCGGGGUCAGGCCG